UGAUAGAGGUUGCGUUUUUUAUGAGUCGCUUCCCGGAUGUGACAGACACAGGAGAAAGGAAGUUAAAGGAAAAGACGCCGAAAGGGUGCAUGGUCUGGGAAUGCAUUGCUUGGGCAUGAAGUGAAGAACUUCAUGACUGUCAUCGGAAGAUGGGGAGCUAUCGGU
rnacentral:ncRNA from 1 species